rnacentral:rRNA from 1 species
UUAUACAAUGAAGAGUUUGAUCCUGGCUCAGGAUGAACGCUAGCGGCAGGCCUAACACAUGCAAGUCGAACGGUAACAUAGAUUGCUUGCAAUCUGAUGACGAGUGGCGCACGGGUGCGUAACGCGUAUGCAAUCUACCUUUUACAGGAGAAUAGCCCAGAGAAAUUUGGAAUAAUGCUCCAUAAUAUCAUUUAUCAGCAUUGGUUUAUGAUUAAAGUUCCGGCGGUAAAAGAUGAGCAUGCGUUCUAUUAGCUAGUAGGUGGGGUAACGGCUCACCUAGGCUACGAUAGAUAGGGGCCCUGAGAGGGGGAUCCCCCACACUGGUACUGAGACACGGACCAGACUCCUACGGGA